UUGUUCCUUCCACUGUGAAAAUUUCAGAUCUGGAGCCACCCUUCUAUAAGUCUUUCCUUCUCUCCCCAUGCCCCCCACAACUCACACAGGCUAAGGCGAGAAGCCAGGAAAUAAAUAUGCCCCAAAGGAAAAUCACUGGAAGAACAGGAAAGAGCAAGACGGAGCCAUCCUGGAGCGGCAGGCUGGGCGGAGCUCUCCAUUAGCUGCGCAUCACACAUUCCUGCUCCCAGGCCUCUCCCAAGCCUCCAUCCACAGCGUGGGCUUCCGCUUGGUAGCGCUGGAGGGAAAAGGGGGCCCCAAGCCCCAGGGACAGUGUGGUAUCUGCUGAGUGGCCCCAGAGCAUGCCGAGCGCAGGAGGAUGGCUGCCUUCUAACCCUGGAGGGGCACGGGCAUCCGUCCAGCCCCCUUCACCUUCCUCAUCCCCAAACUCCUCAACCACAGCUCCGCAGAGAGUGUGGGAGAGAGGCCCCCUUUCUGCCCUGACCUGGACUUGACUCAGUGUAUCUUGGAAGAAAGAAAGAAGAGGAGUCUGGAUGCUCCCACCCAGAGGCGGCCCGGUAAUUGCAGGUUUUUAUAACACUCCGGGAAGGGACAGUGGCUGCCGUGGAGAAGCCAGGGAAAAUGCUUCGUGGCAACCAUUCCCAGGAACAAGGCCAUCCCAACCACCAGACCACCCUGGUGUGCCCUUUCCAACUCUUCCACUUCCCACGACAUCCGGGAUCACAACCAGCCCGGCCCUCUCCUGUUCUUCCCUCCACAAACAUUUGUGGAGUGUUUACCAGCUCCGCCCUGUAUCGAGGGGCCAGAACUCCCGGGCAGGACCUACCCUCCCCACCAGACCUCAGUCCCCGGAUGUCUCCGACUCUGAUCGUGAUCUAUGUUGAUUAGGAAAACUUCAUCAUUAUCAAGCAUUCUGCAGACUUCAGCAUGACAGUGCGGCCAGCUCUGCUCUGACCAAGGGAAAAUCCGGCAGAUCUGUGAGACCUUCCUUCAUCUUCAGGAUCCAAGGCGCUCGAGGCGGAAUGCGCCUGCCUGGCCCCUGCACACCUGCUGAACACCACCAGGAUCAACUCACUGAGGCCAGUCAGCUCACUGAGGGUCCCAUUAGGGGACCAGACAGUGUGUCCCCUUACUCCUCUCCAGGGACAGAGGCUCUCUGGGGCCUGGGCAUCUGCCAUUGCCCUGAAAGGCCCCCUCCUAGCCCCACAGCCAACGGCUUCCCCGAGGAGCAGCGGCUGGCAAUGAGGCGUUGAGUCCUCUUCAGGCACCUGGGCGGAGGUCGGCUCUGGGUUAACACACAGGGAGGCUGCAGCUCCCCAACAGGCAGGUGGGGUGCAGGCGCCAUGCCAGGGGCCCACACUGGGUUUUCACCUCCCUUCUGUCCUGCCUGUCCCCACAGAGCUCCGCUUUGCCUCUCUGCCCCCUUCACCCCCUCCCUUAUCGGUAACACACAAACUUCCCUAGAGUCAGCCACAGAGGUGUGUCCGGGGACAACCCCACUGUCCAUGGGGUGGCUACAGUUUGGAAGGGACCACAGGGAAGGUGCAGUUUCGUCUGAACAGGCAGGUGGCACUGAUGGGAAGUGCAGGGCACAGUCCCCGGGGCCCCUUGUCCUCCCUCCUUGCUCCUCCUCAUCUUCCCAUGUAAGGGGGUGCCUGUGACCUCUGCUGGGGUGUGGAUGAGGAGACACCGAGCUGGCCCUUUCCUACCCAUGUGCAAGAUGGAGCCCCAAGCUGGGGGCGGGGCUGCCCUGACCCUCCAGCACAGCUGGGGAGCUGUGGAGGUUGGCCCACGAGAAGCUUAUGUCCAGCAGCCCUGGGGAGGCCGGGGCUGCCGUGAGCAAGGUCCCUCUCGUGCCUGAAGGAGCUUCGGGCUGUGACCUUAGCUCUGGGCUGGGGACUUGAGAGCCCCAGCUGAAGGGUGGCUUUAGAGCACACUUCUCCAGGGGACGUUGGAGGCACAGGUGGCCUGGUGGCAGGCUCGGGAGAGUCCCAUGGGGCAGGGUCCAGGCGAGUUCUGCCUCCUGCCUGUGUGGCCCUGCCGGCCCCUCCCCUCUCUUGCUCAGGUGCGCCUUCACAACCUCAGGGGAGCUGGGAGAUGGGACUGCUCUCUCCUGCAGCCUCCCAAGUUCAGUUGCUGUCCCUUAGGAGCCACCGGCUACUCCCAGGAACCCUGGAUCUUUAGAUCUCCCCUGGUGGCCUCCACAUCCAAACCCAGCCCCAGGGGACAGGCGCUCUAGGCAGACAGGCCUGGGCCUGCCUCAGAGUACACAGGAAGGAGAGGUCACCCUGUACCUUGUCUCCUCAACUCUAAGGUGGGGCAGAAACUGCAUCUCCAGGGUGACAGAGGGCUCGUAAUCAUCCAGAUCGGGGACUGGAUAGUGGCAGCCUGUGGGCAAGAUCCAGCCACCACUUGUUUUAGCAAAUAAAGUUUUAUGGGACACAGUCACUCA